AUGGCCGCAGGCUCCGCCAUCUUCGUCCGUUCCCCCGCACUGUCGACUCCUGGGUCGAACGCCACCGAGCUCGGCGCCGUCACCAGGGAGCCGUACAACACCAGUGUGCUCGCCGUGGGCUGCCUCAUCGUGCCCUCCGGCUUCGACAUCACCGCGUCCGGCUCUGAGAGCCGCCCGUCCCCCGUGGUCAACAUCACCGACGCGCGCGGGUUCAACGUGGCCGCCUCCAUGCUCGAGGCCUCCGGCGUGGCGGACGACUUCGAGGCCGAAGAGCAGGGCGCCGGCAUCACCAUCUUCGUCCCCACCGACGACGCGCUCGCGGCCCUCCCCGCCACCGACCGCCUCCAGUCCCUCCCCUCCGACUGCAAGGCCGUGGUGCUGCACUCCUACCACCCGCUCGGGUCCCUCAGUUCAUCGUGA
rnacentral:rRNA from 1 species